UGGGGAAUUUUGGACAAUGGGCGCAAGCCUGAUCCAGCAAUGCCGCGUGCAGGAUGAAGGCCUUCGGGUUGUAAACUGCUUUUGUACGGAACGAAACGGCUCUGUCUAAUACAUGGGGCUAAUGACGGUACCGUAAUAAUAAGCACCGGCUAACUACGUGCCAGCAGCCGCGGUAAUACGUAGGGUGCAAGCGUUAAUCGGAAUUACUGGGCGUAAAGCGUGCGCAGGCGGUUAUGCAAGACAGAUGUAAAAUCCCCGGGCUCAACCUGGGAACUGCAUUUGUGACUGUAGAGGUAGAGUACGGCAGAGGGGGAUGGAAUUCCGCGUGUAGCAGUGAAAUGCGUAGAUAUGCGGAGGAACAACGAUGGCGAAGGCAAUCCCCUGGGCCUGUACUGACGCUCAUGCACGAAAGCGUGGGGAGCAAACA
rnacentral:rRNA from 1 species